rnacentral:rRNA from 1 species
AUUGAACGCUGGCGGCAGGCCUAACACAUGCAAGUCGAGCGGAUGAAGGGAGCUUGCUCCUGGAUUCAGCGGCGGACGGGUGAGUAAUGCCUAGGAAUCUGCCUGGUAGUGGGGGAUAACGUCCGGAAACGGGCGCUAAAACCGCAUACGCCCAGAGGGAGAAAGUGGGGGAGGUUCGGACCUCAGGCUAUCAGAUGAGCCUAGGUCGGAUUAGCUAGUUGGUGGGGUAAAGGCCUACCAAGGCGACGAUCCGUAACUGGUCUGAGAGGAUGAUCAGCCACACUGGAACUGAGACACGGUCCAGACUCCUACGGGAGGCAGCAGUGGGGAAUUUUGGACAAUGGGCGAAAGCCUGAUCCAGCCAUGCCGCGUGUGUGAAGAAGGUCUUCGGAUUGUAAAGCACUUUAAGUUGGGAGGAAGGGCAGUAAGUUAAUACCUUGCUGUUUUGACGUUACCAACAGAAUAAGCACCGGCUAACUUCGUG